UGUUAAUGUAAUUCCUGUGAA
rnacentral:piRNA from 1 species